AUACCGGAUACGACCAGUCCUCGCAUGGGGUGCUGGUGGAAAGAUUUAUCGGUCUUGGAUGGACUCGCGGCCUAUCAGCUUGUUGGUGAGGUAAUGGCUCACCAAGGCGAUGACGGGUAGCCGGCCUGAGAGGGUGACCGGCCACACUGGGACUGAGACACGGCCCAGACUCCUACGGGAGGCAGCAGUGGGGAAUAUUGCACAAUGGGCGAAAGCCUGAUGCAGCGACGCCGCGUGCGGGAUGACGGCCUUCGGGUUGUAAACCGCUUUCAGCAGGGAAGAAGCGAAAGUGACGGUACCUGCAGAAGAAGCGCCGGCUAACUACGUGCCAGCAGCCGCGGUAAUACGUAGGGCGCGAGCGUUAUCCGGAAUUAUUGGGCGUAAAGAGCUCGUAGGCGGUUUGUCACGUCUGCUGUGAAAGCCCGAGGCUCAACCUCGGGUGUGCAGUGGGUACGGGCAGACUACAGUGCAGUAGGGGAGACUGGAAUUCCUGGUGUAGCGGUGAAAUGCGCAGAUAUCAGGAGGAACACCGAUGGCGAAGGCAGGUCUCUGGGCUGUUACUGACGUUUGAGGAGCGAACAGCAUGGGGAGCGAACAGGAUUAGAUACCCUGGGUAGUCCAUGCCGUAAACUUUGGGCACUAGGUGUGGGGGACAUUCCACGUUUUCCGCGCCCGUACCUAACGCAUUAAGUGCCCCUGCCUGGGGAGUACGCCCGCAAGGCUAAAACUCAAAGGAAUUGAUGGGG
rnacentral:rRNA from 1 species